rnacentral:snRNA from 1 species
AUCGCUUCUCUGCCUUUUGGCUAAGAUCAAGUGUAGAUCUAUCCUCCAGGAUGUUUAAAAUUAAAAAAUGGCAUAGCCAAAACAUUUGCACCCCAUAAUAUUCUGAAAAAAAUUUUUAAAUGACAAUAUUAAGUGUCGACAAGUUUGUAGGACAAUAGGAACUCCCCUCCAAACAGGCUCUAUUUUUAGGCUGAAAGAAUAGACU